CGCGAAUCGCCCUUGGGGUGCACCAGGCGCGAAAACUUUACAAUGCCGGCAACGGCGAUAAGGGAACCUCGAGUGCCAGGUUACAAAUCUGGCUGUCGUGAUGCCUAAAAAGCAUUGCAUAGCAAGGGCCGGGCAAGACCGGUGCCAGCCGCCGCGGUAACACCGGCGGCUCGAGUGGUAACCGUUAUUAUUGGGUCUAAAGGGUCUGUAGCCGGCCGGAUAAGUCUCUUGGGAAAUCUGGCAGCUUAACUGUCAGGCUUUCAGGAGAUACUGUCUGGCUCGAGGCCGGGAGAGGUGAGAGGUACUUCAGGGGUAGGGGUGAAAUCUUGUAAUCCUUGAAGGACCACCAGUGGCGAAGGCGUCUCACCAGAACGGACCUGACGGCAAGGGACGAAAGCUAGGGGCACGAACCGGAUUAGAUACCCGGGUAGUCCUAGCCGUAAACGAUACUCGCUAGGUGUCGGCCACGGUGCGACCGUGGUCGGUGCCGUAGGGAAGCCGUGAAGCGAGCCACCUGGGAAGUACGGCCGCAAGGCUGAAACUUAAAGGAAUUGGCGGGGGAGCAC
rnacentral:rRNA from 1 species